AGAUCCCUGAAAGAUGAUCAGGUAGAUAGGUCCGGUGUGGAAGUGUGGCGACACAUGGAGCUGACGGAUACUAAUCGAUCGAGGACUUAAUCAA
rnacentral:rRNA from 1 species